rnacentral:rRNA from 1 species
UCCUAUAAUGCAGUCGAGCGCGGGAAGCGAGUGGAUCCCUUCGGGGUGAAGCUCGUGGAACGAGCGGCGGACGGGUGAGUAACACGUGGGCAACCUGCCUGUAAGAUCGGAAUAACCCCGGGAAACCGGGGCUAAUGCCGGGUAAUACUUUCUUUCGCAUGAAGGAAAGUUGAAAGAUGGCUUCUUGCUAUCACUUACAGAUGGGCCCGCGGCGCAUUAGCUAGUUGGUGAGGUAACGGCUCACCAAGGCGACGAUGCGUAGCCGACCUGAGAGGGUGAUCGGCCACACUGGGACUGAGACACGGCCCAGACUCCUACGGGAGGCAGCAGUAGGGAAUCUUCCGCAAUGGACGAAAGUCUGACGGAGCAACGCCGCGUGAACGAUGAAGGUCUUCGGAUCGUAAAGUUCUGUUGUUAGGGAAGAACAAGUACCGUUCAAACAGGGCGGUACCUUGACGGUACCUAACGAGGAAGCCCCGGCUAACUACGUGCCAGCAGCCGCGGUAAUACGUAGGGGGCAAGCGUUGUCCGGAAUUAUUGGGCGUAAAGCGCGCGCAGGCGGUUCCUUAAGUCUGAUGUGAAAGCCCACGGCUCAACCGUGGAGGGUCAUUGGAAACUGGGGAACUUGAGGACAGAAGAGGAGAGUGGAAUUCCACGUGUAGCGGUGAAAUGCGU